UUUUGCAGAAAUAUGGCAAGCUGAUUCAUCU
rnacentral:piRNA from 1 species